UACGUAGGGGGCUAGCGUUGUUCGGAAUUACUGGGCGUAAAGCGCACGUAGGCGGGGCUGUAAGUAGGGGGUGAAAUCCCAGGGCUCAACCCUGGAACUGCCUUCUAGACUGCAGGCCUCGAGGUCAGGAGAGGCGAGUGGAAUACCGAGUGUAGAGGUGAAAUUCGUAGAUAUUCGGUGGAACACCAGUGGCGAAGGCGACUCGCUGGACUGAUACUGACGCUGAGGUGCGAAAGCGUGGGGAGCAAACAGG
rnacentral:rRNA from 1 species